AUUGAACGCUGGCGGCAUGCUUUACACAUGCAAGUCGAACGGUAACAGGCCGCAAGGUGCUGACGAGUGGCGAACGGGUGAGUAAUGCAUCGGAACGUGCCCAGUCGUGGGGGAUAACGCAGCGAAAGCUGCGCUAAUACCGCAUACGAUCUGUGGAUGAAAGCGGGGGACCGUAAGGCCUCGCGCGAUUGGAGCGGCCGAUGUCAGAUUAGGUAGUUGGUGGGGUAAAGGCUCACCAAGCCAACGAGCUGUAGCUGGUCUGAGAGGACGACCAGCCAGACGGGGACUGAGACACGGCCCAGACUCCUACGGGAGGCGGCAGUGGGGAAUGUUGGACAAUGGGCGCAAGCCUGAUCGAGCAAUGCCGCGGGCAGGAAGAAGGCCUUCGGGUUGUAAACUGCUUUUGUACGGAACGAAACGGUCCUGGUUAAUACCUGGGGCUAAUGACGGUACCGUAAGAAUAAGCACCGGCUAACUACGUGCCAGCCGCCGCCGUAAAAC
rnacentral:rRNA from 1 species